rnacentral:lncRNA from 1 species
CAGUAUAUGUUUUUUUUUUCUCCCUCUCAUUCUUCCCCUUUAUCUUCACAGCUAGCUCCUUCACUCUAUUGUUGUGUAUUUGCUAUCUCAACAAUAUCAACAAUGGCGGAAGAUCAUCCAUUGUUGCCGAAUCGCGCCAUUGGAAAUAGAACAAACGGAGAGUGGAGGCGAAGCAGGAGCAGCAACAAAGAAGAAGAAAGCUAAACCUGUUCGUGUUGCUUCUCUCGAUGUAUUUCGUGGCCUCUGCGUUUUGGU